rnacentral:piRNA from 1 species
UGGGUUCUGCUUUGCUCUUGGGUGU